GAUGAACGCUAGCGGCAGGCUUAACACAUGCAAGUCGAGGGGUAUAGUUAGCUUGCUAACUAGAGACCGGCGCACGGGUGCGUAACGCGUAUGCAAUCUACCUUUUACAGAGGGAUAGCCCAGAGAAAUUUGGAUUAAUACCUCAUAGUAUCUUUGCCUGGCAUCAGGUGAUUAUUAAAGUUCCAACGGUAAAAGAUGAGCAUGCGUCCUAUUAGCUAGAUGGUAAGGUAACGGCUUACCAUGGGCACGAUAGGUAGGGGUCCUGAGAGGGAGAUACCCCAGAAGGGUACUGAGACACGGACCAGAAUCCUACGGGAGGCAGCAGUGAGGAAUAUUGGACAAUGGGCGCAAGCCUGAUCCAGCCAUGCCGCGUGCAGGAAGAAGCAUCUAUGGUGUGUAAACUGCUUUUGUACGGGAAGAAACACUCCCUCGUGAGGGAGCUUGACGGUACCGUAAGAAUAAGGAUCGGCUAACUCCGUGCCAGCCGCCGCGGUAACAC
rnacentral:rRNA from 1 species